GUCAGGCAUGUACCUCCUCCAUGAGACAAAUACCACCGUGGGCUGCCUCGCUGAGAACCUCUCCGCAUCCGCUUCAGCGUACGGCGCGUCAUCGGCGCCACCCUCCCCCAACGUGCUCACGGUGAUCUUCCGUCACUCUAUGCCCAUCAAGGGGACGCCGGCGGCCCAACCCUCCCUCUCCGCGUCCUCACGCUGGGAGAUCCCACCAGGCAGGGGAAGCGCCGCGGCCGCGAGCGUCCACCCCGACGCGAGGUUCUCAGCAUAUGUAGAUUAGUUGCUUGAAUAUCAAAUGAAGCCAUCCCCAUUCUCAGCAUUCUCUUCCUCUGCUCCAUACCUAAAGAAAUAUUUAAUUGCAAGUUGAUGGAUGAUGACCACGACCUGCGGAUCUAUCUCCAAGUUCAGUCAAUCAGGAUAUUUUGAAUCUAUCAAAGCAAUACCAUACUUUUGAAUCUUUAUGUAGGCAGCCAUGAUAUUUUUUCUAUGUACAUGUCAAUCACUUCGUCACUUCCAUGUUUAUUCAGGCUACUGUUCAUGACAGCCAAAGGAACUUUCAGUCAUACAGAGGACAAUGAGGUAAAGCUAUACAGGCUCUUUAUGCUUAUUGCACCUAAUACACCUAAUUUGUUGAUGUUGUAAUGUCUUGACAGCUUUUUCCACUUUUGUUUUGCUUAUGUCUUGUUUAAAUACGACAUCACAAAUAUCAGAUCUCUGCAAAUUUGAAAUGGUUUUAGUUGGUCACUUGGGAUGCAUUCUACAAAGCUGUUAACCCAACAAAGAUCUGCGAGGCAACUUAAAAAUUUCUGGUCUGAUCAUGUAAACUGUCUAUUUCCGAAACAAAAAUGACCAGACAAUAUUUUUUCUAUUACUUUAUUCUACUUUUUAACACGGUAUAAUAACAUGUAUGUGCUACUAUACACAACCAUGGUGUAUGUAUUUAGGAAAAUUAAAAAUGAACAGAUCAUGGUGUACGUAUCCAAGCUCCUAUUUAGGUACUGAAUUAAACUGCAUGUGUACUGCUGAUGCCUUGUAUAUACUGGAUAAUUGUGAUUUUUUGAAUUUUUGAAGGAGAAAGGGAUAUUGCACCAGCUAUCAUAAAACGGUAAAUUCUUGAAAUUUAAAAUAGUGGCAGUUUUAUUAAUGUAUAUUGCUUUUGCAAUUGGAAUUGAUAUAUUUAGCUGAUGUUACCUCUUCUACUAUGUCAUACUCUAGAAAAAAGGCGCAAAUACAUCGAGAUGUCAUGCCGGUGCUCUGCCAUCAUGACUCAUUUCUGUCUUUGCGAAUGUAUUAAGAGGAUCCACAAGUCCACAAUCAUGUUCCAUGCAAACAUCCUUGGGCCUUGGCUGCGGCUUUUCCAACCCUUCCAGCCAUUGAUGAAUUAAUUUUUGAGUAAUCUCCUGCAAUUCACAAUGAGAAUCCGAACUAAUUGAUGUUUAUUUUUUCUAGUUAAAAGUAUAAUCACAAAACUAAAAUUGAUGAGAUGGGCAAGCAGAACAAACUUGUGGGUGUUUUCCUAUUAAGAGCACCUUUGCUGGCGAGACAGAAUCACUUGGUGCUUAGGCCACCAACAACAACUGUCUAUCCCAAAUUAUUUGCAUUGCUCAAUUCCCAGGAGAUACAUCAAAGAACUUGGAAAUAUUGCUCCCUUGCAUUUUUCCUAUGUUUCAGUUGAAUAGUGGCGGUGAUGUUUUUCAUUCCUUAUAUUUUAAAAGAUAAAAGAUUGCUUAAUUAUUGUCCAUUUAUACAUGCUGCAUGGGAUUUCCCAUGUAUCAUGUAUAUUCCACUAAUUUCUUUAGAGAUAAGUGAAAACUUGACUUGUAUGUGCUGUUUUCUCAAUAGUAGUUUGCCAUAUUCAUGGUUUUCAGCGUGUCCUUUUCUUAGGGUUGCCACCUAAUGUCACUUUGGUCACAUGAUCUUAUCCAUGUACCUUGCCAGAGCUCUACCAUUGCGAUGUGAUGGCAACAUGAACUUGCAGACUUGCUAAAGAAAGAGAGAACCAAAACAGUGCUCAUGAUGUACACUGCCUGGAACAACUGGAAGGAGAGGAACCGGCGCAUUUUCAAGUUCACUCAGAUGGAUUCAGUUCAGGUGGCCCAAGAUGCAAAACGGAGAUCUCUCUACGCAAAAUAACCUAUGGAUGGUCAUGGCCCGUGAUUCCUGUAGUUCUAUGUUAAGUUCAAAGGUUGUUUGCUUGUAUUUGGUGUUCGAAUGUUUAUUGUUUUAUUUUAUGUAAUUUCAACCUUGUACUGAACCUUCCUUCAUAAAACAAAAUCUUGUAUUGAACC